rnacentral:rRNA from 1 species
GCUAAUACAUGCAAGUCGAACGCACAGCGAAAGGUGCUUGCACCUUUCAAGUGAGUGGCGAACGGGUGAGUAACACGUGGACAACCUGCCUCAAGGCUGGGGAUAACAUUUGGAAACAGAUGCUAAUACCGAAUAAAACUUAGUGUCGCAUGACACAAAGUUAAAAGGCGCUUCGGCGUCACCUAGAGAUGGAUCCGCGGUGCAUUAGUUAGUUGGUGGGGUAAAGGCCUACCAAGACAAUGAUGCAUAGCCGAGUUGAGAGACUGAUCGGCCACAUUGGGACUGAGACACGGCCCAAACUCCUACGGGAGGCUGCAGUAGGGAAUCUUCCACAAUGGGCGAAAGCCUGAUGGAGCAACGCCGCGUGUGUGAUGAAGGCUUUCGGGUCGUAAAGCACUGUUGUAUGGGAAGAACAGCUAGAAUAGGAAAUGAUUUUAGUUUGACGGUACCAUACCAGAAAGGGACGGCUAAAUACGUGCCAGCAGCCGCGGUAAUACGUAUGUCCCGAGCGUUAUCCGGAUUUAUUGGGCGUAAAGCGAGCGCAGACGGUUUAUUAAGUCUGAUGUGAAAGCCCGGAGCUCAACUCCGGAAUGGCAUUGGAAACUG